AGAGUUUGAUCCUGGCUCAGAACGAACGCUGGCGGCGUGCUUAACACAUGCAAGUCGAACGAGAAAGGGGUCUUCGGACCCUAAGUAGAGUGGCGCACGGGUGAGUAACGCGUAGGUAAUCUAUCCUUACAUUUGGGAUAACAUCGGGAAACUGGUGCUAAUACCGAAUGGUCUUCAUUGCUUUGGGGCGAUGGAGUAAAGGUGGCCUCUUCAUGAAAGCUACCGUGUAGGGAUGAGCCUGCGUACCAUUAGCUAGUAGGUGGGGUAAUGGCCCACCUAGGCUACGAUGGUUAGCGGGUCUGAGAGGAUGAUCCGCCACACUGGAACUGGAACACGGACCAGACUCCUACGGGAGGCAGCAGUGAGGAAUAUUGCGCAAUGGGGGAAACCCUGACGCAGCGACGCCGCGUGAGUGAGGAAGGUUUUCGGAUCGUAAAGCUCUGUCAGAAGGGAAGAAGUGUUAUAUGGUUAAUACUCGUAUAAUUUGACGUACCUUCAGAGAAGCACCGCUAACU
rnacentral:rRNA from 1 species